AGACAAAAGCUGUCCUGACUUCAUUACUCUGCUGCCUUAUUUAUUCUAAGACUGCUCAGCAGAAAGCACAGAAAACAUCGCCCUUUGCAGGAUCCCUCCACCACACAAAAUGGCCUGCAUCUAAUCUCAGAGCUCACAAAUCAAUUAUCCCCAGCCAUGAAAACUCCUGGAGGUCACUGUGGACGGGCUGAAAAGGAGACCUGAUUUGUCUGUCUUUGGUUCAUUAGCUCAGCGCGUCCGCACCUUCACUGUACCCUUGCUGGAGGGGCUUCAGCCGUUUCCCGAGGAAUGGCUAUUUCUGAUUUCCCUGAGGUCUAAGGACAGCUGAGAAGAGGCAGAAGCUGGCUGGUUAAGGACACGUCUUCUAGGUCAUUAUGGAGUCAUUGAAAGAGGACAGUCUGGAGUCUGUGGAGCCUAUGGAACCACGAGGAGCUUCACUUACAGGCAAAACAGUCCCAGGAGACAGGGAACACUGCGAUGAUGGGGAACCACGAUGCCCUGACUGAGGAGGAAGACAGAUACAGGAAUUUCAGAAGAAUUAGCCCCAGACAAACAAAAGGUGGGCCUGGAAGGGGUAGGCAUUCAGGACAAUGGUUUCCAUAUUUCCUGUUAAUUUUUUUUUUCCAGAAGAGAUGAAAUUCAGCAGUGACCUUGAAUGAUGGAGGUUGGGUUUGUCUGUUUAGAAAUGGGAACAAGAUGAAGGACGUUACACAGAGGAGAGCUCGGAUGCAAUGGCCUUCAUUGAGAUGCUGUCUCCCCUGGAGGAAGACCUUAGGGCCCUUCCCAGAGUAGAGGAGGUGAGU
rnacentral:lncRNA from 1 species